GUCUCCUCUACUUGGCUUCUCCCCAGUGUCCCCUCCAAGCAUGUCAGAAGCUUCCUGAAUGCAGGAACUGUGGGUCAUAAAAAUACCAUCUGCUGGGACAAAGAGACAGCCUACAUAAGAACCGUGGCUGACUUCAGAAGAAACUAUACUGGAAUAGCAAGUGAUGUUCUAGCAGAAAAAUAAUGAAUGCAUUGGAAUAACAGAGUGGAAGCUGACAUGGAUAUUAGAGGCAGAAGGCAGCAUGAUUUUAAGAAUGUCAGGUGAAGGCAGAAAUCACGUGAGAAGAAAUUCUGAAGUCCUUAUUCUUUAGCCAAGCAAAACUGUCAGAGACCAAUUAUUCCACUAUUCUUAGGUGGAUUCAGACCAGCAAAAUAUACUUGUUAUCUGUUGUUUUCCACAAAUUCUGUAGGAUAUUAAUAUGCUGAAUGCAGAUUUCAGGCAUCUUUAGGUCUUGCUGUGCAGAAGCGGAGGGGGGUUAGACUCUUUGAUGCCCAAGGCCUCGUCUCUGAAUGCCUCUCUCUUCGCCACACCGCAUGAGAAUUUAGCAGCUGAUGGAGCGAUGGAAGGGGAAGAAAGUCUGUGUGACUAACAUGUUUGAUUGGUUGCAUUCUCCCAAAGCAAGGCAACCACCUAGGACUGAAUUCUGAUUCUCUGAGUCUCAAGAUUCGGACUGCUGUGCUCCUGGGGAAGUACUAAUAUGUGCUGGUCAGGGCUUGUCAUAAAUCCAAUUUUGCCCUUAAAAAUGGUGGAUUUUCUUAAAGUGAGAAAAAUACCAUUAGUGAGAAGAAGGGCACAUUUGGAAAUGCUGUAAAUAGCUCGUCUCUGUUAAACUCGGUGGAAUUUGACUGCUAUCACCAGUUCACAAUUUUGAUAAUAUUUUGGCAGAAAUGAGCCUUGAGGUUCCGCCAUAGUGAGUUCAUUGUUGCUGUUAUUUUCUCUUAGGUUUCACAGCAGGGAGAAAUGAAAUGAGUGUGAAAUCUUGUUAGCUAUCUGAAGACCAUCUGUAUUUUCUUAAUGAAUGCAGUACUCCUCUUGGAACCAUGAAAUAUGUAAUAUAUUAUGUUGAUUCUAAAACAAAUUGUGUGGAAUUUAAACUUUACAUAUACACUGAGCCUUCCUUUAUUUAGGAGAUUCUCCUGUGAAAUUUACCAGUGUGAUAUUAAUCUUUUAGCAGCUGCUACAAGAAAGAGCUCUUAGAAGGUUUUCCUUCUAAGUCUUGCAUUGAAGUAAUUACUUAGUGGCUAUAGGCACUUGAUUCUAUCCAGUGAGGAAUGCUGAAUUUUAGCUCAUUACUUUUUAUGAUGGCUAUGUCCUUUAGUGUAAACCUUUCAUUGGUUGUAAGCAGCCUAUACAUACUAUAGCUAUAAAACACAAGGAUGGGGGAGGACUAAUUAUAUGUACAGCCUACCAGAAAGGAAUUUUUCUCCUUUGAAACCCUUUGAGGAAACCUUCAAAUAGUACCAAAUGUUAAUGCAGAAUAGCAGUAAAAUAUUCAGCUGAGUUUCACAAAUGAAGAUUGGUGUUUCAUAAGUGUCCCAGAAGAGCUAUAAAAUGUCAUAUCUUAUAAGCCAUUAAGUAUUAGGCUGCUUAGAUUCUUAGUGCAGAAUUGGCACGGUUUAAUUUUUGCAUUGUCAUUAACACAAUGAUACAACAUAUUGAGGUUUCACAGAGCCUUUUAAAAAGCAAGGUGGCAUGAAAUGUGGUUGGGGAAUAAGAGGCAGGUUGUGCCAGAGAAUCUCCACUGCUUUCACUUACCAAAAUAAUUGACACUUCAUUAUGUCAAUGCUGUGGGACCUAGGACAGGUUCACAACUCCUGAGACCAGACACACAGCUGAGCCACAACCUCGCUCCAUGUUGGAAAAGGGGAUAGGCAGGAACCACUCCUACAGAGCUGGCUGAUCCUGGUUUCCAUUAAAAGAAAAAAUACUACUGAGAGUACCCCUGGUGCGCUGUCCCACAUCCCCAGGUUCAGACAAUGAAGGGUCAGGUGCCUUCUGUGGCACCAUCAGAAAGGUGCCACCAAAAAAAUACCCCCACUGUGAGCCAGGUAGCCAGGGAGGAAAAUAAUUUAUUUAUUUAUUUAUUUAUUUAUUUUUAAGCCCACUUAAAUCUUUUAUUGUAUGCACUUGCUUGACCUAGUCCACUCGUUACUUGAUGAAAUAGGGUAGUACAAUUUAGUUUUAUAUCUAUAAGUUUGUGGCUUUUGGAAAACCACCAGCUAUAAAUCAAGUAUGAGAAAUAAAGUCUUAUAUAAAAUAAGGAUUAUAAUAAAAACUGUUAGGGACCAUUAACUUUAGGCAUUGUUACUGCUCUGUCUAUGAAUACUACAAUUAAGCAUCUGCUUAAAUUUGAAACAUUAAGUGGUAACUUCUUGCAUACACAACAUUAAGUUUGGGUGUAAAAUGUUUGCAAUAUAAACACCACAGAGGUGAAUGCAGACAGCUGUUUUUGUUUAUGACUUUCUUAUAUGAUUAAGUGAAGCUAUUCAUUUGGUUUCCUGGACAUGGGGCCAUACCUUGGAGGAACUGCCCUAUUUGCAAGUGAAAGUGAAAGGUACGGGGAGCAUUCUUCUACAACAACUUUGCAUAGCACAACAUUUAAUUUUUGAAAAGCCCUUACUAUUCUACCCUCAAGAAGCAGAAGUCCAGAUGAGAAAGCUCCACAAUGCUUUCUCUUUUAUUUAAGCACCACGGAAAAUGAAAAAGGAAAGGAGUCAGGGGUUUCCUGCUUAGCUGUUUGACAUGGGUAAUCAACAAACAAAGCACCAAGCAAAACUGUGGCAAGAAAUAAAUAUCACGUUCAUACCUUUAGUUCCCUUUGUUAUGAUGGUCUCUUGUCUUCAUGGAACUAAGCACUGUUUCCUACUACAAUAAGUGUUGAUUCGAGAAUCACCAGGUAAAAGCUGUACUUGGUGUGGGUGCAUUCCUUUCACUUAACACAAUAAUCUUCUGUUCUUACUGUUCUCAUGCUCGAUCACAUCUCUGUGAUGUAAUGAAAUGGAAAAUGGAACAGGGGAAAAGAAAGAUUUCAUGUUUGAAACAUGCCUGCCAGUUCAUUCUCCUUUUCCUUCUCCUUCAGCUUGGCCUUGAAGUUCUCCAUUACAGAGUCCCUCACUGGGCAAAGGAGUGCAUGAAAACCAGCCAAGAGCCCUCAGGUCCACUGCCCCACAGCACACAGCAUGAACCAUUUCAGAACACAGGUUGGAAGAUUUGAGGACAAAAAGAUGAACUUUUGUUCAAUGAAGACAUGGCUUGAUGGGAGGAGUGGGUGAGGGGAGCCUGUGAAUGACUUGUUUCUUGGUGAGCAGAAAGCUUAUGUGAGAACAUGCACUUCAGGGAGAGGAUCCUGCCUCACCUCUCCAGGCACAACUUUGGUUUUGGAUGGCAGCACACUUGGGUCUCUCACCUGGAAGCUGGGAACUUAAAUGUCAUGCUGGCUGUAAUGUAGAUCAGGGUCUGCCCUGUGACUCUCCCACUGCUGAUUGUCCUACAUAAAGAGGCUCCAACAGACA